UAAAAUGGGGAUACAAAUAACACUUACCUUGCAGGGUUGUUGUAAGUGUCAAAUGAUACUGAUAUGGUGUUUAGCACAAUUCCUGGUAUAUAGGAAGAACCGUAUAAAAGUUACCUCUUAGCUAUUAUUACCAUUAAAGAUAAUCUUAUAAAGGACUUUGAAAAAUACAUGUGUUAAUUGUACUAGGAGUGAUCUAGGGUCUGAGUAAUUGAAAGGUUUUGGUACAAUAUAUAAAAAAUUGCUAUGACUUCUCCAUAUUUAUGGAUUUUAUGGGAUCUUAUACGGGAGGCUGUUAUAAGAUUAAGCCUGCUGGUUUUGAGACUACUAUGACAGUUUUCCCUGAAGGGAGGCUGUAGUUUAUAGAAUCUAUGCAUGGAAACUGUGGUUAUAAGAUUAGGCCUGAUGGGCCUGAUGGUUUUGAGAGUACCAUGACAGUUUUCCCUUAAGGGAGGCAGUAAUUUAUAGAAUAUGCUAAUGGAAAAAGUACUGACAAUGAUAUUUUUCAAAGGUUGGUACAGCUGUGUUCCUCAAAUAAUAUUUUUCUACCACCAGAAAAACAAUGUCUCACUGAUAUGCGGCCCCCCAAAUAAUAUUUUGUUUUUCUCCUUGAUAACCCACCCAACAAUACUUUGUAUUACCACCUGCUUAUUUUUUUUUGAUAACACCCUCCCCCCGGUAAUAUUUUGCUCUGACCCCGAUACACAAUUUGGCCAGCUUCAGGAAGCCUUUCUAAAAAUCCUACUAUAAGAAGCUCAAUCUCAGAGAAGCACUGAAGCAUUCCUUUCCCUCCCUAAGGAGUUCACUUUCCUGCUGGAGUACCCCCAAAAGCAUUUCUCUUUGUUCUUCAAUACAGCACAGCCCUCAUGUGCCAGAAUUGUAUGUUAGAGCCCCCUUUCUUCUUUGUUUGGAAUAGAUUUUGCAUUGAAAGAAUUCCCAUUGUUUCACAUGUUAUUCUUAGCAAGAACUCAUUAGGGGAUGUUUUCCCCCCAAGUCGAUGGCCGGCUAUGGGCCUUAUCUAAAUUGAGUACAUGUUUGACAGUUUGCUUACACUGGGGGAGUAGGGCACUGUGAACUCAAUUGUAGAAAGCAAGGAUCAAUAGGGAAAACCCUAUGUCUUCCCAGGAGGGUCUCCCUGAUGCCAGAGGACUCUAUCAGAACAGAGCCACAGUAUCUAGAGAGCUGGUUUUUGAGCCAGGAAAUCUUAAGUUUUGGGGUCCUUCCUCUGAAACAUAGUGAUUCCAUGACCCUGGGCAAUUCCCCUAAUCAGGGUGCUGAAGCAAAGCGUAAAGAGAGUGGAGCUAGAGGGAAUUUUCUCCCAUUAAUGAAAUCACAGAUCCAUUCCCUGGCUUUACCCCUAUUCUAGAAAGGAUAACAUCAUCUUUGAUAUAAAGGGAAGGAAGGAACCCCGACCCAUUAUCCUUGCCCCAAAGCCCCUGAUCUUCCAAUAUUGGCUAUUUCUUGUCAAAGGUACUAACCACCAUCUUUCUAGACUUUUGGGUUUGAAAUUCUGGUGAAAUCUUCAAGUCCUCACUCCCCCUCAUGGCACAUAUCUAAUCUAGCCAUUUCCACCUCCUCAACAUCUGUUAGUCUCUCAGACUUAAGACAUUUCCCAGUCCAUCCUACUCUCUACACUGCUACUCAAAUGAUUUUCCUUAAAUGCAGAUCUGAUCAUGUCAUUUCCCACCCAAUCAGCUCCAGCAGUUUCCUAUUGUCUCAAGGUAAACUGCUCUGUUUGGGCUUUAAAAGCUCUCAGCCAACUGGCCUGCACCUGUCCUAAACCUCAUUGAACAUUACUCCCUCUCCCAUAUCCUAUGAUCAAGCCACCUGCUAUUCCCUAGGUGCAAGAAAUUUAGGCAAAUUGGCUUGAAAACGGCCUCCCAGUGAAUUGUAGGUUCAGUAGUUCUCAAUUAGCUCUGAGAAUAAGAGAGAACAACAAAGGGUCUAAGAGUGGGAGGGAGGCUGUGCUCUAGUCCCUGCUCUGAAGCCCUGGGCAGGCCUCUCAGUGCCUUUAAGGUGAGUGCCAUCCACAGGUCUGAGGUUGAAUUUUUUCUCCUCAGAAAGGCAUGCAAUUAUAAGGAUGUUGGAAUUGGAAGACUUGGGUCUGAACGCCUGCUGCACUCUGUAUUUUCAGAAGCUGGAGAACCUUCAGAGGAUGAUCAGGAUAUAAAGAGAACUUGAAACUGUGUGUGAAGAUGGGUUGGAGACUCUGGACAUCUUUAGCCUGGACAAGAAAUGACUUGGGAAAGAAUAUCUUAGUUUCUAAUGAUCAAAGCUUUAUCAUAUUGAAGAGAUAAGACUUAUUCUACUUGCCUCAACCAGUAGAACUAAGACCAGUGGGUACAAAUUUCUGGGAGACAGGUUUAGCUCAACAGAAGGAAGUUCUAACUAGAGGCACUAACCCAAUUGGAAUGGACUGAGUUCUUUUUAAGUAGCACUUGUCAAGGAAAAACUAAUCGAUAGGGAUAUCAUAGAAUGGCUCUUCUAGGUUGAAGACUGGUAUAGAUCAAAGCCGUGGGUUGUGAUCCCACAUGGAGUCAUAUAACAAUGUAGAGGUUGCAUAAUUAUGAUUUAUUAUCAGCUAUUUAAUCCGUGUACUUAUUUUGUAUUCUUAUAUACUUGGGCGAAAAGUCCUUGUGAGUGGAAAAAGUUUAAGAAGCAAUGGGUGAUCCUGGAGGGUUCUUUCCAGGUCUGGGAUCCUAUAAUUCAAAUACGCAAUAGAGAAAAUUGAUGUGAUAGCAAAGGAAAAAAAAAAUCCCAGAUGUUUAAUUUGGCUAAAAUAGAGUGAAUUUUAAAUUUGAUUUAAAAAGUCAAGUUGAGAAUGCAAUGAAAGAAGUGGGUCAUCUUCAAUAGUGAUCAUGAGGACCCUGUUGGUAAAAGUUCUCUUGAGUGCAAAGCUCUGUUAUUUGGCCUUCUCCCACACACAAGCUUUACACGAAUACUUUUUUUGGUCUUGGAUCAUCUGCAUUCUGAAAUUAUUGGCACUUGGAUCUUUGUUACUCAAAAUAAUGAGCAUGUAGAUCUUAAGUCUCAAGCCUUUUUCAUAACUUGGAAGAGAUAUGGAAUUGUUUUCACCUCCUUUUAAUUAGAAGCUGAAAGUCCAUGUGUUGUCAAGAGAAUGUCUUCCAGGGAAUUCUCUGAAAAUCCUGGUAGAUAAGCCCUCUCUUGACUAGGUAAUUUUAUAUUUACCUCUUUCCUAUGCAGACAAUGUGCUUUUACUAUGAUGUCAGUCCCAUAAAUUAUUUAUGGUGGUGAUGAAGAGAAAUGGAAGUCAGAGUUUCUACUGAAAAUACUAUAGUUACUUUGUGGAACACACUAGGUUUCCAUUUCUGAUCUUGACCAAGAGAUAUUCUUGUGGCCUGUUAAUGACAAGAGUCAACAUGGUGUAGUGCAAAGAACACUGCCUUUGGAGUCUAUCUCUGAUACUUGGAUCAAUUAAUCAA